rnacentral:snRNA from 2 species
GUGCUCGCUUUGGCAGCACAUAUACUAAAAUUGGAAUCAUACAGAGAUUAGCAUGGCCCCUGCGCAAGGAUGACACGCAAAUUCAUGAAGCGUUCCAUAUUUUU